rnacentral:rRNA from 1 species
UACGGGGGGGGCAAGCGUUGUUCGGAAUUACUGGGCGUAAAGGGCUCGUAGGCGGCCAACUAAGUCGGAUGUGAAAUCCCCAGGCUUAACCUGGGAACUGCAUCCGAUACUGGAUGGCUUGAAUCCGGGAGAGGGAUGCAGAAUUCCAGGUGUAGCGGUGAAAUGCGCAGAUAUCAGGAGGAACACCGGUGGCGAAGGCGGGUCUCUGGGCCGUAACUGACGCUGAGGAGCGAAAGCGUGGGGAGCGAACAGG